rnacentral:rRNA from 1 species
CAGUCGCCACGGUAAUACGGAGGGUGCAAGCGUUAAUCGGAAUUACUGGGCGUAAAGCGCACGCAGGCGGUUUGUUAAGUCAGAUGUGAAAUCCCCGGGCUCAACCUGGGAACUGCAUCUGAUACUGGCAAGCUUGAGUCUCGUAGAGGGGGGUAGAAUUCCAGGUGUAGCGGUGAAAUGCGUAGAGAUCUGGAGGAAUACCGGUGGCGAAGGCGGCCCCCUGGACGAAGACUGACGCUCAGGUGCGAAAGCGUGGGGAGCAAACAGGAUUAGAUACCCGUGUAGUCCCUGUCUCUUAUAC